rnacentral:rRNA from 1 species
UUUCGAAUCAUUCACAAUGGGCGAAAGCCUGAUGGUGCGACGCCGCGUGAGGGAUGAAGGUCUUCGGAUUGUAAACCUCUGUCACCGGGGAAGAAACGCUUCAAGUUAAUAGUUUGAAGCCUGACUUAACCCGGAGAGGAAGCAGUGGCUAACUCUGUGCCAGCAGCCGCGGUAAUACAGAGACUGCGAGCGUUAUUCGGAUUCACUGGGCGUAAAGGGUGCGCAGGCGGCCAUGUGUGUGAGGCGUGAAAGCCCGGGGCUUAACCCCGGAAUUGCACCUCAAACUACAUGGCUAGAGCAUUGGAGAGGGUAGCAGAAUUCACGGUGUAGCAGUGAAAUGCGUAGAUAUCGUGAGGAAUACCAGAGGCGAAGGCGGCUACCUGGACAAUUGCUGACGCUCAGGCACGAAAGCGUGGGGAGCAAAAGGGAUUAGAUACCCCCGUAGUCC